GACGAACCGAGCGAACGUUGUUCGGAAUCACUGGGCUUAAAGGGCGCGUAGGCGGGUGCUCAAGUCUGUGGUGAAAUCCUCCGGCUCAACCGGAGAACUGCCAUGGAUACUGGGUGCCUCGAGGGUGGUAGGGGUAUGCGGAACUAUCGGUGGAGCGGUGAAAUGUGUUGAUAUCGAUAGGAACUCCGGUGGCGAAGGCGGCAUACUGGACCACUUCUGACGCUGAGGCGCGAAAGCCAGGGGAGCGAACGGG
rnacentral:rRNA from 1 species